GCCACAAAUACCAAGGUAUCAAAAAUAUAAACAAAAUAGACAGCAUCAGCACAAAGAAACUUGCACGUAUUGUCCUAGUUAGUAAUCACACGCGUGUUGUCGACGAAGAGGACUGUGAGUUUAUCUGUAAAAUGUUCGGGCUCUUCGAAACAGAGUUCAAAUCCAGACGUCCAUGUCAUUGCUGCGCUCCUUGAUACAUGCGGGCGGUCUGGCUUGCUUAAGAAGGUAGACUCUGUUUCUCAAAAGAUGGAAGAGACUCCUCCUUGUGAACCUAAUUCUGCGACCUAAUGGCUGUGUUUGGACGAGCCAGACAGUGAGAGAGAAUUGAUGCAUUGUUCAGCGAAGUCGAGGAGGUGGUCUUCAUUUUAUUUGGACCUACGUUCAACGUUCUUAUUGAUGCUUAUGGAAAUGUAUGUCUUCGGUGCAAGACGGAAGGGGCAAAAGGAUGUUAAGAUCUUGGAGCAGAUCUUGGAGCAGAUGCAACUCGCAGGAUGUAAACUGGACGUGAUAGCCAACAGCUUUCUCCUAGAUGUGUACGGCACGAGUUGAACGAUGAGCAAGAUCAAAGCCACUUUGCAGGCGCAAGUUGAAUUUAGGUUGGUGGAUCACUGCAAGUGAUCGUCUACAGUGUGGUGCAUUGCUCUCCUAUAGUUAUUUAAUCGUUGCUCUUACUUGAACAAGUCUUUCAGGACAUGCCAGUGCUGCCCGGUGCUUGAGGGAAAGUGGAGCUGAUCCAAGCUCUGAAACUAUUGUAAUCCUGCUCUGCACUUUGCGCUCUUGCCGAUUCCGCUAGGACUUUUCAGCAAUUUUGCGUUAUAUCCGAAUAUGUGAAGAACUUUGGAGUCAUUGUAUGGAUACCAGGGGAAAGGACAGACAGUUAUAGCGAAAGACCUUUUUAAGGUGAAGCUGCGGUUCUAUUUGAUGCAUAGCAAUCUGUGAAAGCUGCAUCACGACUGGUUCUGUAUGAUUCUUUGUGAUGAGAUAUCUGUGGCGAUUCGAUCAAAUGAUGAGCUGUAGAUGCUGAAAACAUUGGAGACAUGGCAGCAGAUGGUCAACGUAAAGUUAUUCGCAUGAGUUAUGGUGAUGGCAAUUGCUUCAAAAUCACUUCAUCAUUAUGUUAUCUUAGUGGUGAGGUCACGAGGUUAGGAAUUUUUAUUUAUCCUCGUGGAAAAGCGAACAGAAUAAGUGCAGAUUGUAUUGAGACGCUGAGACAUCACUAACUGCACCAAAAUGUGCAUAUUUACUCAGUCAUGGCAUGAUGAUUUCCACAAAUAGUAUAAGCCCACUGUUAGUUGCGUCAGCAAAUAAAGUGUUAUCGUUUAUUACAA